rnacentral:rRNA from 1 species
GAUCAUAGCUCAGGAUGAACGCUAGCGACAGGCCUAACACAUGCAAGUCGAGGGGCAGCGGAGAGGUAGCAAUACCUUUGCCGGCGACCGGCGCACGGGUGAGUAACACGUAUGCAAUCCACCUGUAACAGGGGGGAUAACCCGGAGAAAUCCCGGACUAAUACCCCAUAAAUAUGGGCGCUCCGCAUGGAGAGCCCAUUAAAGAGAGCAAUUUUGGUUACAGACGAGCAUGCGCUCC